GUCAACUACCCCGGCCUGAAGGCCGGAGCUUGAAAGAGCUGGGUUGACCAGGGACAGCGGUGAACAUCCGCUGCGUUUGCAACAGGUCGUUGAGACCCACUCCGGAAUGCUUCCUCAGUCCCGGACCCUGGA
rnacentral:sRNA from 21 species